rnacentral:rRNA from 1 species
AUUGAACGCUGGCGGCAGGCCUAACACAUGCAAGUCGGACGAGCGGCGGACGGGUGAGUAAUGUCUGGGGAUCUGCCUGAUGGAGGGGGAUAACUACUGGAAACGGUAGCUAAUACCGCAUACCAUCAGAUGUACCCAGAUGGGAUUAGCUAGUUGGUGGGGUAACGGCUCACCUAGGCGACGAUCCCUAGCUGGUCUGAGAGGAUGAUCAGCCACACUGGGACUGAGACACGGCCCAGACUCCUACGGGAGGCAGCAGUGGGGAAUAUUGCACAAUGGGCGCAAGCCUGAUGCAGCCAUGCCGCGUGUAUGAAGAAGGCCUUCGGGUUGUAAAGUACUUUCAGUCGGGAGGCGUUACCGGCAGAAGAAGCACCGGCUAACUCCGUGCCAGCAGCCGCGGUAAUAC